UGAUCUUGAUAUUGCAUCUGGCUUUGCCUUACACCCAUGCACUUUUUUUUUACCCUGGCCAACACAGUGAAACCCCGUCUCUAGUAAAAAUACAAAAAAUUAGCCGGGCGUGGUGUCGCGUGACUGUAGUCCAGCUACUCGGGAGGCUGAGGCAGGAGAAUUGCUUGAAUCUGGGAGGGGGAGGUGGAUGUUGCAGUGAGCCGAGAUCGUGCAACUGAACUCCAGCCUGGGUGACAGAGCGAGGCUCUGUAUCAAAAAAAAAAAAAAAAAAAAAAAUGCAUAGAGAGCAAUGCACGCCAAGGAAUUCUUCCAAGGAGGGAAGUAGAGUGAAAGAGGAGUUGAGGCCAGGUGCAGUGACUCAUGCCUGUAAUCCCAGCACUUUGGGAGGGUGAGACGGACAGAUCACCUGAGGUCGGGAGUUCAAGACCAGCCUGACUGACAUGGAGAAACCCCGUCUUUACUAAAAAUACAAAAUCAGUCAGGCGUGGUGGUGCAUGCCUGUAAUCCCAGCUACUUGGGAGGCUGAGGCAGGAGAAUCGCUUGAACCCGAGAGGCGGAGGUUGCGGUGAGCUGAGAUUGCGCCCUUGCACUCCAGCCUGGGCAACAGGAGCGAAACUCUGUCUCAAAAAAAAAAAAAAAUGUUGAAGGGCCCUCACAUUUUACUCCAUAUAUUCCCAUGUUUUUCCCUUGUGAGCUUAUGUAAAAAAUGUGUGGAACUUGAGUUAAAAAAAUAAUGUGUUUAACUUAUAUAAGGAAUAAAAGAACAAAACCCUCACACACACUUAGGACCUCUACAGAGAGGAAAAAACAAAUUUUACAAUGCAGAACUUUUACGAAUUAGCUCCUUUUAGAAAGCAGCAAAAAUAAAAGACAAAUGGUGGCAUGGAGACUAUAUGUGUGUGUGUGUUUGACAAGGGAGUUGCUGGUUACUGUCUGUGUUCUUGGGUCCCCAAGACUACCCUCUGGUUCAGUGAUUUGCUAGAACUCCUAGAAUUCAGCAAAUACUGUGUUGCAUUUAUGGUAGAGUGUUAGAGUGAAAGGAUGCAAAUUAAAAGUCAGCAACAUGCCAAGUAUGGUGGCUCAUGCCUGUAAUCCCAGCACGUUGGGAGACCAAAGUGGGUGGAUCACCUGAGGUCAGGAGAUCAAGACCAGCCUGGCCAACAUGGUGAAACCCCAUCUCUACUAAAAAUACAAAAGUUAGCUGGCCGUGGUGGCAGGUGCCUGUAAUCCCAGCUACUUGGGAGGCUGAGGCACGAGAAUUGCUUGAACCCGGCAGUUGCAGUGAGCCGAGAUUCCACUACUGCACUCCAGCCUGGGCGACAGAGUGAGACUCCGUCUCAAAAAAGAAAAAUAUCAGCAACAGAAAAAAAGCACAUAGAGCAAGCUCCAAGGUCCAGGAGAGACCAGGUACAGGCUUCCCAUUGUCCUCUCUCUCUGUGGAAUUUUACAGAUAACAUUUAAAUCUCCCAGGAAAAGGUUGGGCGCUCAUGCCUGUAAUCCCAGCACUUUGGGAGGCCGAGGCGGGUGGAUCGCUUGAGGUCAGGAGUUCAAGACCAGCCUGACCUAACAUGGAGAAACCCCGUCUCUACUAAAAAUACGAAAUUAGCCAACCGUGGUGGCGCAUGCCUGUAAUCCCAGCUACUUGGGAGGCUGAGGCAGAAGAAUCACUUGACCCCAGGAGGCAUGGGUUGCGGUGAGCUGAGAUCAUGCCAUUGCACUCCAGCCUGGGCAANNNNNNNNNNNNNNNNNNNNNNNNNNNNNNNNNNNNNNNNNNNNNNNNNNNNNNNNNNNNN
rnacentral:lncRNA from 1 species